rnacentral:misc_RNA from 1 species
AACGCACAUUGCGCCCCUUGGUAUUCCGAGGGGCAUGCCUGUUCGAGCGUCAUUUACACCACUCAAGCCUUCAGCUUGGUCUUGGGAUUCGCGGUUUCGCGGUCCUUAAAAUCAGUGGCGGUGCCUGUAGGCUCUGAGCGUAGUAAUCUUCUCGCUAUAGUCCCCUACAGGUUGCUUGCCCAGCAACCCCAAUUUUUCAGGUUGACCUCGGAUCAGGUAGGGAUACCCGCUGAACUUAA